GCUUUACUGUAACUUGAAAUUGAAAUUGGACUUUAUUUGCGCAGUAUAGGUGGGAGGCGUUGAGAAUAUUCUUGCGGGAAUAUUGGAGCUAUCAGUGAGAUACCACUCUUGUAAUGUUAGAUUUCUAACUUUGGAUCAUUAUCUGGUCAAAGAACAGUUUCAGGCGGGCAGUUUGACUGGGGCGGUCGCCUCCUAAACGGUAACGGAGGCGUACAAAGGUUUCCUCUGAACGGGUAGAAAUCGUAUCUAGAGUGUAAAGGCAUAAGGAAGCUUGACUGUGAGACCUACAAGUCGAGCAGGGACGAAAGUCGGUCUUAGUGAUCUGACGGUGCUG
rnacentral:rRNA from 1 species